CGGUGAAUACGUUCCCGGACCUUGCACACACCGCCCGUCAAGCCAUGGAAGCUGGGUGUACCUAAAGUCGGUAACCGUAAGGAGCCGCCUAGGGUAAAACUAGUGACUGGGGCUU
rnacentral:rRNA from 1 species